AACGUACGCUGGCGGCACGCCUAACACAUGCAAGUCGAACGCAGUAGCAAUACUGAGUGGCGAACGGGUGAGUAUAAUGUGGGUAUCUGCCUUUUGGUGAGGAAUAACACGAGGAAACUUGUGCUAAUACUUCAUAAGCCUUUACAGGGAAAGUUUUAUACGCCAAAAGAUGAGCCCGCACUUGAUUAGCUAGUUGGUAAGGUAAUAGCUUACCAAGG
rnacentral:rRNA from 1 species